AGGACGAACGCUGGCGGCGUGCCUAACACAUGCAAGUGGAGCGACGAACCGGGCUUCGGCCCGGGGCAAAGCCGCGAACGGGUGAGUAACACGUGGGUAACCUGCCCUGAUGAUUGGGACAACCCGAGGAAACUCGGGCUAAUACCGAAUGUGCCCUCUGGCCUCAAGGCCGGCGGGGAAAGGAGCUUCGGCCUCCGCAUCGGGAUGGGCCCGCGGCCCAUUAGCUUGUUGGUGGGGUAAAGGCCCACCAAGGCUACGAUGGGUAGCUGGUCUGAGAGGACGAUCAGCCACACUGGGAUUGAGAACGGCCCAGACUCCUACGGGGGGCAGCAGUGAGGAAUUUUCGGCAAUGGGGGAAACCCUGACCGAGCAACGCCGCGUGCAGGAAGACGGCCUUCGGGUUGUAAACUGCUUUUCUUUGGGACGAGUAAGGACGGUACCAGAGGAAUCAGCCCCGGCUCACUACGUGCCAGCAGCCGC
rnacentral:rRNA from 1 species